rfam:Picea glauca, whole genome shotgun sequence.
GUAACGGUGUCUUUAGACACCACCUUUUGUCUUGAAAAUUAUUUCU